UCCGACUGAGUGGCGAACUGGUGAGUAACACGUGGGUAACCUGCCCAGAAGAAGGGGAUAACACCUGGAAACAGAUGCUAAUACCGUAUAACAACAAGAACCACAUGGUUCUUGUUUGAAAGCUGGCCUUUGUGCUAGUGCUUCUGGAUGGACCCGCGGCGUAUUAGCUAGUUGGUGAGAUAAUAGCUCACCAAGGCAAUGAUACGUAGCAGACCUGAGAGGGUAAUCUGCCACAAUGGGACUGAGACACGGCCCAUACUCC
rnacentral:rRNA from 1 species